rnacentral:rRNA from 1 species
GAUGAACGCUGGCGGCGUGCCUAAUACAUGCAAGUCGAGCGAACGGACGAGAAGCUUGCUUUUCUGAUGUUAGCGGCGGACGGGUGAGUAACACGUGGAUAACCUACCUAUAAGACUGGGAUAACUUCGGGAAACCGGAGCUAAUACCGGAUAAUAUUUUGAACCGCAUGGUUCAAAAGUGAAAGACGGUCUUGCUGUCACUUAUAGAUGGAUCCGCGCUGCAUUAGCUAGUUGGUAAGGUAACGGCUUACCAAGGCAACGAUGCAUAGCCGACCUGAGAGGGUGAUCGGCCACACUGGAACUGAGACACGGUCCAGACUCCUACGGGAGGCAGCAGUAGGGAAUCUUCCGCAAUGGGCGAAAGCCUGACGGAGCAACGCCGCGUGAGUGAUGAAGGUCUUCGGAUCGUAAAACUCUGUUAUUAGGGAAGAACAUAUGUGUAAGUAACUGUGCACAUCUUGACGGUACCUAAUCAGAAAGCCACGGCUAACUACGUA